CAAGCUUGCAUAACAAGCUGAGUAUGAAAGUCACCUUUGAUUGGGAUCAAAAUACUCAGCCACAUGAUCAGAGACCCAUAGGAGGAAGGAAAAAAAGCAAAUAAAAAGCCAAGCAAAAGCAGAUGGGAUCCGAGCUAUGAGCCAAAAAGGGCGACGUCCUCACAGUCGAGAAAGUUGGAUCACAGAACAGCCUCUUGGGAGAAGGGAAGGCAGAGGCGGCUCGAAGCCACCGGCCAUGCUGCAUCAGCCGAGAAACAAUGAGAUGAGCGAAUGCUGCUGCUGAGGCUACUUUCUUAUCUUAUAGUCCAAGGUCUCACAUCCAGAGAAUGGCUCCACCCACACCUAGGAUGGGUCUUCCUCCCUCAGUUAAUACCAUCAGGAAAGUUCCCCACAGUAUGCCCAAAAGGUCCAACUCCCAGGUGAUUCUAAGAUAGUGAAUGCUAACCCUCACAACUCUGGUCUGAAAGCAUCAAGUGGGAAACUCCAGGAGGAAACAUUGUAUUAGUUUUGAAUCUGUACCUGAAUGUGUACCUCUGAGUGGCAUGAUGAAAUGCCCUGCUACCCUCCUGUGCCCUGCGCCAAUGUGAACCAUCCUUUACCCAGCAUCUCCACACAGUAUAGACUUCCUGCCUUAGGUGCCUAGUAGUCUUGACUGCCAGAUCAACUCCUGGACUACCACACUGUUUGCCUGUUUUACUUAGUAAUGCCCCAAGACUCAAGACUAAUGAAGCUGGCAAUUUCAAUAGUUUAUUUUAUAACUGUUU